AUUAUCGACCAAUCGAGCGAGAGGUUAGGAAUCGUGGAACACGUGGCUCUCGAUGUCGUCCAAAAAUCGUCAAAGUUAUCAGGAGAGCAGAAAUGGACAGAAAGUAAUAGAAGGUGACGCAUCAGUUUGAAUUUCCCGCCUUAUAGGGAGUUAUAAUCUGGAAGAAGUAAAGUGAUUCGAAUAGCGAUUCGAAUUUGAGAUUGGUUGGAGAGUCUGAUCGACUAAACUUCAGUUUAGCGCGAAAUUCAAAUCUGUGUCACUUCUUGUAACCUCUUCGCCCGACAUGUUACCUUAAUAAUUCCGACGAUUUUUCGAAGUUCGGGUGACACGUAUUCUAUCAUCCAGCGGCCUGUUUCGCCUAACCUCUCUGAAAAACUGAGAGAAAACGAUGAGAUAUAUUAAAUUUACGCAAGAAUUUGCCAUAUGGAAUAUUGUUGGCAAAAUUAUUUUAGAAAUUUGAUAAACUGACGAAUCGACAGUGAAAAUCAAGCGACGUAAUUUAAUUAAUAAUAGAAUCUAAUGGUGUUUGAGAUAUUCGCUAUUAUAUUUCCAAACUCCGUCAAAAUGAAUAAGCUGACUGUGAAAUAGAAAUUCCUACAAAUUUUGAAGAAGUUGAACAGACGAUUUGUUGCUGCUACUGAAGAAAGAUAAUCAAUUAUAAGAGAAUCAAUUUCUUUUUAUAAAAAAAAUAUGGUUUCCU